UACGUAGGUGGCAAGCGUUAUCCGGAAUUACUGGGCGUAAAGCGCGCGUAGGCGGUUUUGCAAGUCGGGUGUGAAAUCCCCCAGGCUUAACCUGGGAACUGCAUUCGAGACUGCAUUACUGAGAGUAUGGGAGAGGGAAGUGGAAUUCCGGUGUACGGUGAAAUGCGUAGAUAUCGGAAGGAACAUCAGUGGCGAAAGCGACUCCGUGGACCAAUACUGACGCUCAUGUGCGAAAGCGUGGGGAGCAAACAGG
rnacentral:rRNA from 1 species